GAUGAACGCUGGCGGCGUGCCUAAUACAUGCGAGUCGAGCGAACGGACGCGACGCUUGCUUCUCUGAUGUUAGCGGCGGACGGGAGAGUAACACGUGGAUAACCUACCUAUAAGACUGGGAUAACUUCGGGAAACCGGAGCUUAUAGCGGAUAAUCUUUUGCACCGCGUGGGUCAAUAGUGAAAGACGGUCUUUGUGGCUCUUCUAGCUGCAUCCGAGCUGCAUUGGCUAGUCGGGAGGGUAACGGCUUACGAAGGCAACUAUGCAUAAACGACGGGAGAGGGUGGUAGGCGGCACUGGAAGUGGGACACGGUCCAUACGCCUGCGGGAGGCAGCAGUAGGGAAUCUUCCGCAGUGGUCGAGAGCCUGACGGAGCGACGCCGCGCGUGUGAUGAAGGUGUUCGGAUCGUAAAACUCUGUUAUUAGGUAAGAACAUAUUUGGCAUUAGCUGAGCAGAGCUUGACGGUACCUAAUCAGAAAGCAACGGCUAACUACGUG
rnacentral:rRNA from 1 species